GACGAACGCUGGCGGCGUGCUUAACACAUGCAAGUCGAACGCUGAAGACCUGGCUUUUGUUGGGUUGGAUGAGUGGCGAACGGGUGAGUAACACGUGAGUAACCUGCCCUCUUCUUUGGGAUAACGCCCGGAAACGGGUGCUAAUACUGGAUAUUCACUGGCCUUCGCAUGGGGGUUGGUGGAAAGGUUUGUUCUGGUGGGGGAUGGGCUCGCGGCCUAUCAGCUUGUUGGUGGGGUGAUGGCCUACCAAGGCUUUGACGGGUAGCCGGCCUGAGAGGGUGACCGGUCACAUUGGGACUGAGAUACGGCCCAGACUCCUACGGGAGGCAGCAGUGGGGAAUAUUGCACAAUGGGCGAAAGCCUGAUGCAGCGACGCCGCGUGAGGGAUGGAGGCCUUCGGGUUGUAAACCUCUUUCGCUCAUGGUCAAGCCGCAAAUGUGGGUUGUGGUGAGGGUAGUGGGUAAAGAAGCGCCGGCUAACUACGUG
rnacentral:rRNA from 1 species